rfam:Cupriavidus sp. TYMMa02A contig.113, whole genome shotgun sequence.
CGCAUCCGAGCGGGAGAGCGCGCAUGAUCUUGCGCCGCCGAAGGGGUAUCACCCGAAAACUCUCAGGCACCAUGGACCGUUCGGAUCGG